CAACGAAGCCCCUGCUUAACCAUGGCAAGUCGAACGAUGAUCCCAGCUUGCUGGGGGAUUAGUGGCGAACGGGUGAGUAACACGUGAGUAACCUGCCCUUGACUCUGGGAUAAGCCUGGGAAACUGGGUCUAAUACCGGAUAUGACUCCUCAUCGCAUGGUGGGGGGUGGAAAGCUUUUGUGGUUUUGGAUGGACUCGCGGCCUAUCAGCUUGUUGGUGGGGUAAUGGCCUACCAAGGCGACGACGGGUAGCCGGCCUGAGAGGGUGACCGGCCACACUGGGACUGAGACACGGCCCAGACUCCUACGGGAGGCAGCAGUGGGGAAUAUUGCACAAUGGGCGCAAGCCUGAUGCAGCGACGCCGCGUGAGGGAUGACGGCCUUCGGGUUGUAAACCUCUUUCAGUAGGGAAGAAGCGUAAGUGACGGUACCUGCAGAAGAAGCGCCGGCUAACUACGUGCCAGCAGCCGCGGUAAUACGUAGGGCGCAAGCGUUAUCCGGAAUUAUUGGGCGUAAAGAGCUCGUAGGCGGUUUGUCGCGUCUGCUGUGAAAGACCGGGGCUCAACUCCGGUUCUGCAGUGGGUACGGGCAGACUAGAGUGCAGUAGGGGAGACUGGAAUUCCUGGUGUAGCGGUGAAAUGCGCAGAUAUCAGGAGAAACA
rnacentral:rRNA from 1 species